AUGGCUUUUCUCCAGAGUGCAUUCUUUUGUGUUUCAUUUCCUUCUCCCUCACAGAGAGAUAAGGGAGCAAUGACGCUUCACAGUGUGAGCACUUGUAAGGUCCGGCUUCAGUACAUGGAUUUGAUGGAUAGCUCACUCAGAUGUGCAAGAGUGAAGUUUUGCGUUGCUAUUGUUAUUGUGAAUGAUUCAUCUGUGCAUACUAUCACUUUUCACAGUCCAUGGGGAUCCCUAUUAAAAUGUUUAUAUAUUAACAGAGUUAGACAAAGCACACAACUAUUACUUGAGUGAAAUACAGAUACUGCCAAUCAAAUAUUACUCCAUUUUAAGUGAAAGGGCUAGGGCUAGGGCUAGGGGUCUUUCUAGGAAAGGCCAAUGUUUUUAUUUAUUUAUUUAAUAUUUUGUGAAAGUACAGAAUCACUGUUGCAGCAUGUAAUACUUGCAAUACUGUAUGCCUUUGAAGCAACUUGCAAUAUAUUACGCCUACUGAAUGCACUGUAGUAUCAUUGAAAUGAAUGUUAAAAACCUAUAGGAAGUGAUUACUGAUAGACUGUCUGAAAAGAAGAAAGUCACAUUUUCAGAGAAGAAAAAAUCACACUGGCUUUCAAAGCUGCUACAUAGAAACGACUUAAGGGUACAUAAGUACAGUAAUCAAGUAAAUGUACUUAUUUACUGUCCACAUCUGUAUAUUAAUGUUUGACUCUAAAGUGUCACUUCAUAGAAUAAAAAUAGUUUCCCCUCAUGUUGGUCUGUGUAU
ensembl:lncRNA